AUGGGACACGUGGGCGACGGCCCGGUGUCAGCAGGACAUUUGAAAACAACACCAGCAACAACAGCGCGUGGCUCACAAACACGGCCCUCGUGUGUUUGGAAAAGCCUGGCACCGAGCUGCAGGUGGAGCCUGCGACAACACGGGCCACAACAGCACAGUCGCAUUCCUCCUGGUUGGAGGACGUCAGUUGUGAGCGGCUGCGUCUUUCAGUUCGGGGCUUUUCAUGUGCUCAGAGGAGCGAGACACCCAGCGGAGAACAAAGACAAGCGAACGGCGACCAAAACCAGUUUUCUCAAAUUUAUGGCAACGAUUUUUCCAUCUUUCAGGCAACCAAGCGUUUUUUUUAGCUGUGUUCCAGCUUUGUUGUGCGUGACUCUGAGCAUGGACGCGGUCCAGCGGGACGCCGCCGUCUCCGGGUUCUGGCCAAGAGGCAGCAGCUUCACGUCGCCACGGAGACAGAUUCCCAUGAAGGGAGCGCAGUCAGACACGCAUCCAGGAGUUGAGAGAGUAACAACAAGUAAUGAGGCCGGGAACACUCACGUCUGUGUAAUUUAGUCCGGCUCGGUUCAAUCCUCCUCAAAGUAAAGACACAGCGUCCUAUAAAUAGCAGGUUUGUCCGAAAGCCUAUAUAUUGAGCAACGUCUUAAAGUCUGAGCUGAGGUUUAUGUUCAGUAAUCCUACAGUAUGUGACGACUGAGAGCCUGUCAGGUGGAAGGCCCUGAGCAUUCCUGUUUCCUGGACAAUGGGAUUAUGGGAUGUAGCCAUGAGAUAAGUCUAAACUCGGGGUGUGGGGAACGACCCUGCUCUCAUUAGAGCCGAGGAGACGAUGGCAGUUACAAAUGUGGGUCCCGCGGGGACGGCGCGGGGCCCGCGGGGCUCGUUAGCCGCGUGCUACACUCGCUAACGAGAGGAGCUUUCCUCACGUGAGGCUCCUGCAGUGGAGGACGUGACCACCAUUCCACCGAAGCCACGGCGGUGACGCCGGGCGGCUGCACUCGUGAAGCCUCAUGAGCGCCGCGAGGCUCAUCUGAGAGGGAGUGAAUGUUAAUGCAGUUCACGCGGCGCCGCGUCAGACGCGAUGACGAGACCUGUUCUUUCCACCGCUGUUUUUCCGGCCUGCGUUAUUUAUAUUUAUGUUCCUGGC
rnacentral:lncRNA from 1 species